GAUGAACGCUGGCGGCGUGCUUAACACAUGCAAGUCGAACGAACCUUCGGGUUAGUGGCGGACGGGUGAGUAACGCGCGAGAAUCUGCCCUCAGGAGGGGGAUAACGGUUGGAAACGACCGCUAAUACCCCAUAUGCCGAUAGGUGAAAUGAAUUUCGCCUGAGGAUGAGCUCGCGUCUGAUUAGCUUGUUGGUGAGGUAAUGGCUCACCAAGGCUUCGAUCAGUAGCUGGUCUGAGAGGAUGAUCAGCCACACUGGGACUGAGACACGGCCCAGACUCCUACGGGUGGCAGCAGUGGGGAAUUUUCCGCAAUGGGCGAAAGCCUGACGGAGCAACGCCGCGUGAGGGACGAAGGCCUCUGGGCUGUAAACCUCUUUUCUCAAGGAAGAAGAUAUGACGGUACUUGAGGAAUAAGCCACGGCUAAUUCCGUGCCAGCAGCCGCGGUAAUACGGGAGUGGCAAGCGUUAUCCGGAAUUAUUGGGCGUAAAGCGUCCGCAGGCGGCCUUUCAAGUCUGCUGUUAAAGCGUGGAGCUUAACUCCAUUAUGGCAGUGGAAACUGAUCGGCUUGAGUAUGGUAGGGGCAGAGGGAAUUCCCGGUGUAGCGGUGAAAUGCGUAGAUAUCGGGAAGAACACCAGUGGCGAAGGCGCUCUGCUGGGCCAUUACUGACGCUCAUGGACGAAAGCCAGGGGAGCGAAAGGGAUUAGAUACCCCUGUAGUCCUGGCCGUAAACGAUGAACACUAGGUGUCGGGGGAAUCGACCCCUUCGGUGUCGUAGAUAACGCGUUAAGUGUUCCGCCUGGGGAGUACGCACGCAAGUGUGAAACUCAAAGGAAUUGACGGGGGCCCGCACAAGCGGUGGAGUAUGUGGUUUAAUUCGAUGCAACGCGAAGAACCUUACCAGGGUUUGACAUCCUGAGAACCUCUUAGAAAUUUGAGGGUGCCUUCGGGAAUUCAGUGACAGGUGGUGCAUGGCAGUCGUCAGCUCGUGUCGUGAGAUGUUGGGUUAAGUCCCGCAACGAGCGCAACCCACGUUUUUAGUUGCCAGCAUUUAGUCGGGCACUCUAGAAAGACCGCCGGUGAUAAACCGGAGGAAGGUGUGGAUGACGUCAAGUCAUCAUGCCCCUUACACCCUGGGCUACACACGUACUACAAUGCUACGGACAAAGGGCAGCAAACUCGCGAGAGCUAGCAAAUCCCGUAAACCGUGGCUCAGUUCAGAUCGUAGGCUGCAACUCGCCUACGUGAAGUAGGAAUCGCUAGUAAUCGCAGGUCAGCAUACUGCGGUGAAUACGUUCCCGGGCCUUGUACUCACCGCCCGUC
rnacentral:rRNA from 1 species